rnacentral:rRNA from 1 species
UAGGGAAUCUUCGGCAAUGGACGAAAGUCUGACCGAGCAACGCCGCGUGAGUGAAGAAGGUUUUCGGAUCGUAAAACUCUGUUGUUAGAGAAGAACAAGGACGUUAGUAACUGAACGUCCCCUGACGGUAUCUAACCAGAAAGCCACGCUAACUACGUGCCAGCAGCCGCGGUAAUACGUAGGUGGCAAGCGUUGUCCGGAUUUAUUGGGCGUAAAGCGAGCACAGGCGGUUUCUUAAGUCUGAUGUGAAAGCCCCCGGCUCAACCGGGGAGGGUCAUUGGAAACUGGGAGACUUGAGUGCAGAAGAGGAGAGUGGAAUUCCAUGUGUAGCGGUGAAAUGCGUAGAUAUAUGGAGGAACACCAGUGGCGAAGGCGGCUCUCUGGUCUGUAACUGACGCUGAGGCUAGAAAGCGUGGGGAGCAAACAGG